AUUGAACGCUGGCGGUAUGCUUAACACAUGCAAGUCGAACGGUAACAGGCCUUCGGGCGCUGACGAGUGGCGGACGGGUGAGUAACGCGUAGGAAUCUGCCUCAUAGUGGGGGACAACGUGUGGAAACGCACGCUAAUACCGCAUACGCCCUACGGGGGAAAGCGGGGGACCUUCGGGCCUCGCGCUAUGAGAUGAGCCUGCGUUAGAUUAGCUAGUUGGUAGGGUAAAGGCCUACCAAGGCGACGAUCGAUAGCUGGUCUGAGAGGACGAUCAGCCACACUGGGACUGAGACACGGCCCAGACUCCUACGGGAGGCAGCAGUGGGGAAUAUUGGACAAUGGGCGCAAGCCUGAUCCAGCAAUACCGCGUGUGUGAAGAAGGCCCUAGGGUUGUAAAGCACUUUCAAUAGGGAGGAAAACCUGUCGGUCAAUACCCGGCAGCUUGACAUUACCUAUACAAGAAGCACCGGCUAACUCCGUGCCAGCAGCCGCGGUAAUAC
rnacentral:rRNA from 1 species